rnacentral:lncRNA from 1 species
CAUGAUUGUAUUUUUCUUUGUAAAAUACCAAAAAACUCCCGUGCAAUAGCAUUUUGGCGGGUGACAUAACUAUAUGCUUGACAGGUAAUUGCAACAAAUUCUCCCAUGAAACACCUUCUCUCGUCGUCAACGAUCAUACUCUGAAGCUCAAAAACACCACCCACAUCGACAGAAUCCCACUGUACAAAACCCAUUAAACGAAGGAAAAAAACGAAGAGGAAGUAAACCAUGGUUGAGAGAGAAUAUGAAAAGAAACUACUGUGUUCGAGUAUCGAGAUCGAGAAAGAGUAGGUACACAGAGAGAGAAAGAGAGGAAAAAAAAAAAAAUGAAAAGGGAAGCAAAAAGUAGUAGAGGGAGAGCAGAAAAGGAGGAAAAUUUGGGAGAAAAGUUGAAGAGAGGGGUAUUGGUAGGGAAAAAGGCGGGCCCCUGUACUCCACUCCUUUCUGGACACUGUUCCCUUCUUCCUCUGCGCAUGAUUGCAGUAUCCCUAACCAUCACGCCGCUUCUGUUUCCGCUAGAAAACUAGCNNNNN